GUUUUACUCCCCUGGCCCGUUUAUGGAGCGGCAGUUAUAUAUGACAGGGAUUUCCCUCUCAAUAGUCAUUAUGUUUCUAUUUGUUGCCGUAUCUGUGCAAGCUGUUGCUUUAUUUGGAUCCGCCAUUUGCUGUUAUCGUGAGGCCCGCUACGUAACGAAGUAAAAAUACUUCACGCUUUCGCCAACAGCAUCUAACUACAUUGAUACUCCUGAGCCUUUUAAUUUCUUCAUAUUCCCCAUAUAAAGCUCCCACAACAAGUCCACAUUGAUUCCAUCUUCCACCUUACGUUUGCCACCACGCUACUAUCUACUUGAUAUCAACGCACGAAUUUGCAUUCUCUCUCCAUUUCAGACUGUUCAACCGAAUUAAGACUUCCUGGAGUCUCCUUUUCCCACACCCAGUCAGAGCCUCAAGCCGCCACAUAGCUAUCUUUAUCAGAAUCAUGGAGCUUUACCUACUUGUUGGCGUAUUUACGCUUUUAACCAGUAUUGGGUUUUAUCUUCCAGUUCCGCUUACGAAUAUUCACCCAGAUAGACCUCUUCCAGAUCGUCUCGUUGGUGCACUCCAGCUGACCGCCACGGGAGAAUGUGCCGCAAGGAUCUAUAAUUAUUUUAGUACAUCGCAACGUCGUGAUGCGGAUGCUUAUGUCUUGGGAGCUGAUCCCAAAAUCCACGAAAUCCAUACAACAUACACGCCAAUCCUUGAUCAGUUUCAGCAAGAUACUGCGCAGAGAACUCUCCAAGAUUUCAAAGAACCCCCGCAGACUGUCACAAUUUUUGUGACCUCAACAAUUACGGACCACUUCGGAGCCGGCCAAACGAUAAUGCCAGACAAUAUUUAUGAAGUUCCAACUAAUCCCGAGUGGGUUUUAUCUAGAUGGAUCGUCCUGCUCGAGGACGCAAUAGUACGCCACCCAAAUAUGUAUACGACCGUCAUUCUUUUAUUUGCCUUUGGAACCUGGUUGCUCUCUCGCAGCAGAAACUCUAAAAUCUCAGAAAGUCAUAAUACAACUCCGCUGUCAUCUAAAGGAACUGACACCGAGUUUGUACAAGCCUUAACCCGACUUUUUGAGCUGAUAUCUGGCC
rnacentral:sRNA from 2 species